rnacentral:rRNA from 1 species
UACGGAGGGUGCAAGCGUUAUUCGGAAUUAUUGGGCGUAAAGGGCGCGUAGGCGGCUUUGCAAGUGACGGGUGAAAUCCCUCGGCUUAACCGAGGAACUGCCUGUCAGACUGUGAGGCUUGAGACCGGGAGAGGUGAGUGGAAUUCCCAGUGUAGCGGUGAAAUGCGUAGAUAUUGGGAGGAACACCAGUGGCGAAGGCGGCUCACUGGACCGGAACUGACGCUGAGGCGCGAAAGCGUGGGGAGCAAACAGG